GGGGAUGAUCGGUUUCGACGGUGUAGGUCGAGACAGGGGAAGCGGGCCGAGGAUGCAGAGUCAUCUCGUCAACGCUCUCUGCAAAACAAUAAGUGCCAAGUCUAAGCGCACUGACUUCGCUCUCGCUGCCUAAGUAGCGAGCAAGUCCGUCAGCCCGGGAUUGCUAUCGCCCCGGAUCCUGGCGUCGAUUAGAUAGCCACUGCUGGCAGCCCUCGUCGUCGGGGCUGCUGGGACAUUCAGACGACUGGGCCCGGGUCAGCCACUGGUGUGCUUGAUGGCUGGGGCCGAGAAAGCCCGACGCACACUGCGCCCGGAGAAUACCUGGCAAAACCGCACCGGACGGGGGUUCAAUUCCCCCCAUCUCCACUC
rfam:Sinomonas sp. R1AF57 chromosome.